GCUGAACUCUGCGGCUGAGCAGGGCCUGGCUACAGGCCGCCUCCCCGCGCCCAUCUGCCUCCCUCCUCGGGGCCCAUCCAGCUCCUGGCCGGGCCACAUCCUUGUCCCCACCGGCCUGUGAUUGAGCGGAGCUGUGCCCAGCUGGGCAGCCUGGGGGCAGGCGGGGGAGGGCUGGUGUUCUCAGCCCACAGAGACCUUCCGUGUCUGGUUUCCGGCCUCAGUGGGCUGGGCCCUGGGUGUGUCCCCUGUUCCUGUGAAGCCCUGUUCCCCCUGGGAUGGUCAGAGCGGGUCUCGGGUGCCCAGGGACAGGUGGGGACCCAGGCUGGGAUGAGUCCGUGUAAGGGGAUGCCAGAACCCACCGGCCGCCUCCACAGGGGCCAUGGGAAGGUGGCCAUCCACAGCCCCACAAGGGCCCCCCAACCUCAGGCUGGCAGCCUCCUGCAAAGCGCGGAAACUGAAGUGCUCCCGCACUCCCGAGGUGUCCAGCUGGCGCGGCACAGGGCCUGGCCCCGGCAGCAGCCCCAGGGACAAGGAGGGGGCGGGGGCGCUGAGCGGCCAGCCCUCCCCCCCGUGGGAGCCACCGGCGGCUACGCGGCACUGCAGUCAGGUCCGCCUGCUUCGGACGUGACCCACAGUAAACCUACCUGCGCCUCCCGCCGUCUGCCCAGGGGCGCCCCGGCCUCCCUGCGGAGAAGGCGUGCGCCCCUCCAGCCUGUCGGGAAGCCAGCGUUCCCCUGGGUGGCGGGAGGUGUUCUCAAGCCCAGAGAGCCGGACUCCUCGAGCAAAGCAGCAGAGACAGGCAGUUUCCGUCCCCGGCUGAAGCCGAACUGCCCCGCCCCGCAGUCCAGAGCCGCCCCUGGGGCUGAACUCCAAGUGUGGCUGGGCCGGCAGGGCUUCUGAGCUCCUGGGCAGGAGCCACGGGCACAGCACCCGGGAACCUUGGACGGCCGUGCAGCCACCCCUGUUCCAGGUGCCCCUGUCCCCCUCAUCCCAGCUUCUGCCCCCAUGUGGUCACAUGGGACGCUUGGGGACCAGAGCUGGGCAGAAGUGGUCACCCCCUGGGCGCUGGGAAACCACAUCCACUGUGAGGAGAGGACUUACUUGCAAGAAAAAAUAAAGCCAACUUGAAGAGGUGAGGACCGGAAGCAGAGGGUGGCCCUGGCUCGUGCACGGCCUGUCACCUCAAGGGCCUCCGGGGAUGGCGGGGCCUUCACAGUGGACUUCUGUCCUUGCGACAAAGCCCCAACUAAGACAGCAGACGAGGUCGUGCCCUGAGCAUUUCAGAGCCUGGGUUCUGGGACAGGACGAGACCAGGCAUUCAGGCUUAGCCUCAGGAAGGUGCGACCGUGCCCAACCCUGUCCACACGGUGUCCCUGCAGGGCACCUACUAGGGUGCUCGCUGCACAGGGCCGGCUCUGCGCGGCAGCCUGUCACCUGGGGCACGGCCUGGCGCUGCUCACGGCGCCCCCUCUCCCCUGCCUCCCGCGUCUGUCAAGCAGCUAUUUCUCCGUAGGUUUGAUUGCAGUCGUUUCUAUUUCUCAAAAUUCUUGACCCUGAUAAGCACCUUUCUGGGUGGAGGGGGAGCAGUGAGGGGGAGGGGUUCACCCUUAAUUUGUCCACUAGGCAUGCUGUGUAAUGGUUACUUCCAAAGCUGGUGACUUCAAGCAACGUUCAGGCAAUAAAUUUAUCAUCACCUAAAGCUUCUGAGUCAGGAACCCGAGUGCCUAGCUGCGUGGUGCCCGGUCCCCUGCGGACCACGGGCUGCGUCUGAAGGCUUCCCCCGGCCAGCUGUUGCUUCCCAGAGGGCGCCUCCUGCUGCGGGCGAGGCUGCGGCCGCAGCGUCCUGGCGUGGCAGGGCCCCCCACCCAGCGGUCUGGGAACCUUGCCUUCCAGGCCUGUUGACCUCACUCAAGCCUCUUCUGGCCCUUACCCGUCCGAAAUGCGCCCUGUAGACCGGCCCACCCCCGGAGAACUGGGCUCACCCUUUUGAGGGUGAGAUAGUCCACGAACUUGCACAUCUACUCUUAAAACCAUUACCCUUAACUUUAAGACCAAUUUCUUGUCAUUUCCCUGGAGACGGAACCAAGUCUCCCCUUGGAUCUGAUUUCCUAUCGUGCGCUCAUCUUAACAGGUAUCUCCCAGAGGGAGGCGCUCCCCAGCGCUCCCGGGAAUCCCUCCGGGUCUCCAUCAGAUGCUUCGAGGAGCAGAGAGAAAACUGCAGCCCCGUCCCGGGAGACCUGAGGGCGGCGUGGAUGUGUGCAGACCUGCCAACAGCCCAGAGGCAGCUGGGCAGGGGGCCCCCAGGAAGCUUCCGUGUGCCCGGACGCCGCCGACUACAGGCAGCGUCCACAGGCCGCGCUCGGCGCUGACCUCACCCACAGGACCCCGCCGCCCCGAGCUCGCCCGCGGAGGCUACUGAAGGACGCCUGCUAAGCCUUUGUGAAGCUUAAGACGUGCCGUCCCUUCCCUUUUUAUCCCAGCACUUACCGCAAGCCGAGCACACAGCAGGCAACUAUUUUAAAAACAUGGGAAGCAGAUUCCUGCCUGGCGAUUAUCCAGACUCCCCGUAGCGAAGCCCCUCCACCUGCCUCGUAUCCACCACAGGGAAUGCCUUCCAGCGGAUUUCCUGAUGCACAGCCUCCCAGAGACCCCCCGCUCUGCGGAGCAUCAGGCUCCAGGUAAGCCAAGAGCUUCAGUUCAGUCCUCAAAGCCCCCUGUAGAAUUGAGUGUCUGGGGCUGCAGACCCCACUACGUAAUGAGGAAGAACAAGAUGACCUCCUCCCAGAGAUCACAUGUCCCGAAGAGGUCCGACGCCACAGCAACGGCCUUCACCCAGUGUCCCUCCACCCCAGCCGCACCCAGCUCCCCGGAAACUCGCAGGCCUGGCCCUGAGGGGCACAGGGGUGCGCACACCCAUGCACAAAUUUCCCCAAACUCAGAAAUGAAACCAUUCAUUGGCAAUGGGGUGGAUUUCCUUAAAAUCAGCAAGUGAACAGCCCAUGUUUGCUCGUCUGCUGUUACAUUUUCUACCCCCUUGAACAAGAGCCACCUCCGCUCAGGGCUCCUCCCUGCAAGGAAGCUGAAAGCUGUGCGGGGCUCAGCAGCGCUGCCAUCAGAAAGGGAAAGGGGAGCAGGGAGGAGGGGCGGCCUGUGAGCCAGGCUGGGGGUGAGCUCGGACACCUGAAGGGGGAAGCAGCCAGCGU